rnacentral:rRNA from 1 species
CCUACGGGGGGCAGCAGUGGGGAAUUUUGGACAAUGGGCGCAAGCCUGAUCCAGCAAUGCCGCGUGCAGGAUGAAGGCCUUCGGGUUGUAAACUGCUUUUGUACGGAGCGAAACGGUUUCUUCUAAUACAGGAGGCUAAUGACGGUACCGUAAGAAUAAGCACCGGCUAACUACGUGCCAGCAGCCGCGGUAAUACGUAGGGUGCGAGCGUUAAUCGGAAUUACUGGGCGUAAAGCGUGCGCAGGCGGUUUUGUAAGACAGAUGUGAAAUCCCCGGGCUCAACCUGGGACCUGCAUUUGUGACUGCAAGGCUAGAGUACGGUAGAGGGGGAUGGAAUUCCGCGUGUAGCAGUGAAAUGCGUAGAUAUGCGGAGGAACACCGAUGGCGAAGGCAAUCCCCUGGACCUGUACUGACGCUCAUGCACGAAAGCGUGGGGAGCAAACAGGAUUAGAUACCCCAGUAGUC